rnacentral:rRNA from 1 species
UGGGGAAUAUUGCACAAUGGAGGGAACUCUGAUGCAGCGACGCCGCGUGAGUGAUGAAGGAAUUCGUUUCGUAAAACUCUGUUCUAUGGGAAGAAAAGGACUGUACCAUAGGAGAAAGCUCCGGCUAAAUACGUGCCAGCAGCCGCGGUAAUACGUAUGGAGCGAGCGUUGUCCGGAAUUAUUGGGCGUAAAGGGUGCGCAGGCGACUUUACAAGUUGGAUGUGAAAUAUUGUGGCUCAACCACAAACGUGCAUCCAAAACUGCAAAGCUUGAGUUAAGGAGAGGUAAGUGGAAUUCCUGGUGUGGCGGUGGAAUGCGUAGAUAUCAGGAGGAAUACCGGUGGCGAAGGCGACUUACUGGACUUAAACUGACGCUCAGGCACGAAAGCGUGGGGAGCAAACAGG